rnacentral:rRNA from 1 species
CAGCCGCCACGGUAACACGGAGGGUGCAAGCGUUAAUCGGGAUUACUGGGCGUAGAACGCAUGCAGGCGGUUUGUUAAGUCAGAUGUGAAAUCCCCGGGCUCAACCUGGGAACUGCAUCUGAUACUGGCAAGCUUGAGUCUCGUAGAGGGGGGUAGAAUUCCAGGUGUAGCGGUGAAAUGCGUAGAGAUCUGGAGGAAUACCGGUGGCGAAGGCGGCCCCCUGGACGAAGACUGACGCUCAGGUGCGAAAGCGUGGGGAGCAAACAGGAUUAGAUACCCCUGUAGUCCCUGUCUCUUAUAC